rnacentral:rRNA from 1 species
GCCUACGGCCAUACCACCCUGAAAGCGCCCGAUCUCGUCUCAUCUCGGAAGCUAAGCAGGGAUGGGCCUGGUUAGUACCUGGAUGGGAGACCGCCUGGGAACACCAGGUGUUUUAGUAU